CCUUACUUUAGGCUUGAUUAUGUACAGAUGUCAGCUUUGAUAGCGGCUUAAAUAUUACUCAAAGUCAUAAUGAAACAAGGUACAUAUCAAAAUGGUUGAUAUAUAACUAAUCAAAGGAAGAUGCAACAUUUACAUUAACAAAAAUAUGUAACUCUCUUUAAUGAUAAAUAAAUUAACACCUCACAUUCGACAGCCCCUAUUACGAUAAAAUCACAUGUCCGUGUAAAUCCACACA
rnacentral:misc_RNA from 1 species